rnacentral:lncRNA from 1 species
UAAUCUGUUUGAAACAGAAGUGCGAAGUGCGAUGGUGUUCUGUAAACAAGGAAAAUAUUUUUGUUGGUGGUUAUGAUCAAUGGUUUAGUCCCUUCUAGCUAAAUGUUUUAGAGUACUUGAAAUCCUUCUGCCGCCGUGACAUCAGAGAUUGUGAAACAUUUGAUACCCAUUUGCAGUUUCAUUUCUGAAUGCAUGUUGAAUCUACUUAUGUUAAUUUGGUUUCACCUUGCAUUCGUGGUUAUUGAUCUAUAACAAUUUUUCUGUUCCUCACUCUCAUUUCCUUGCUGCCCUGCUCCUUGGAUCAGAAAAGUACACUUGAGAAACUCCAUAUUAGAUACAGAGUUCCAUUCACUCAGGCUCCGUUCGGUGCAAAGGAAUUUUAAAGGAAAACUUGCAGGAAAAAAAAUGAAGGAAAGUUCUCCCAAACUGCGUUCGGUGUGCAGGAAUGAGCUCCUCAAGAUCCAAAGGGAAGUUGCUGUAGCCUCCAGUUUUACAGGAAAGAAAACAUCGGGCGGAAGCACGAGGCAAAGUACAGGAAAUCUUAGCUGGACCUGCAUGCACCACCAUUGCCUUGCUUUGUGUGACCCCACCACUGCCAGAUGGACGCAUCAACGAGUGGAUGAGAAAAUAGACCGACCAUGCUUUGUACUAGUGGGACCUACAGAUACCUUUGCCUUCCUUUGCUUUACCGAACACAUCUUCUCAGCUUUCCUACAGACUUCUAAUCUAGAUGAAAAAAUCUAGACGUUCCUCUGUUUUUCAGUUUCCCACAGUUUUCUUAACCUUUGCAGCGAACGGAGCCUCAAUCCCCGCAUUCUAAUGAGAUAGGCAAAACGUUUGGGCUUCUUUGAUUCAAAGGAUUUUCAAAGGAAUUUUAAAGGAUUCUAAUCCUUAGGAUUUUUUCCUAUGUGGGUUGUUUGAUUCGUAGGAUUGUAAACCGUAGGAAUUUUUCCAUAGGAUUCAUUUGCACUAGAUUUCAUAGGAAAUUUACCAUCCACUCACAAGAUGACAUGCCAAUCCAAUCCCACGUUUUUCCUAUUCAUGCAGUUGGAAAAUCCUACGAAUCAAAGAGUCCCUUAAUAAACUGGAGACGAACAUUUGGGGCCUUUGGAUUCCAGGAAAGAUAAAGUACUUUGCGUGGAAAAUUCUUCCUGGAGUGCUUCCUUGUUUUGGGGUUCUAUAACUGGGCGCCAUAUCCUGGAUGUUCUAUAGCAAUUGAGGAUGGUAUGUUCUUGGCGGCUAACAUGGGGUGCAACAGUAUAGAGAUCGAGUCUGGCUGUAGUUUUGCAGUGAACUCUGUGCAACUGAUGGACGAGUACUUGGGCCCGAAUGUUACAGUCAUAAUAGAGUGCAACCAAAUGGCGAUGGAGCUCCGGAGAUCUACUUAUAUGCACCGUUGUCGCGAUGCUAAUCAAGUUGCUGAUGAGUUCGCGAAACACUCUUUUAGAUUUAUAUCUUCCAGCCUUUGGGAUUCUUAUUAUACUGUAUUACUGAAUUUGUUUCUCAUCAUCUUGUAAACGGUAUGACGAUAAUAUGAGAAAUAAAGUCUCUUGCCGCAAAAAAAAAAAACUGGAGUUUGUUCUAUUUGAUUCCAAGGACACCCAUAUGCUACUUGUAGAGUGCAUGUUGUAGUUGUUGAGGCAUUGGGUCAAAGAUACAUAGUACUUCGUUUUAAUCUACUUGUUUGCCAUUUGGACACCACUUUUUUACCCCUCCAAUUGGGAUUUUUUUUAUUUGGAAGGAAUUCAAAUGCAAUCUCUUUAUCCCAACGUAAUUAGUUUACAAAAAUGUGUGCGCUUGCAUGGGCUCUACAAUAGAUUAAUCUUUGCAUGAUCAGCUGAUUUUAUCAUCUUAGCUGGCCAUCUGUGGAAUUUCUCCAGGGAAAACGGUUAAAUUGUUGAUCUUAUGCUGUGCAAAGAUACUUGUGUGAUGUUUUGUCCUCCCAAGGCUUAUUUGUGAUGUGAUUCCUGCUCUUCAUGCAAAAUGAUUGUUUUAAGACUCAGAACACUGAUUUUGUAUUUUUUUUCCAAAAAAAAAAUCAUCUGGAAAGUUGUUUUUUCAAUCAAGGCAAGGUAAUCGCUGGUUGAUCUUCAAAUUAGCAUUACCCUGCCUGUUUAUUUCUUCCGCCAUUUGCUAGGGAUGCAGGCGGACAGUGUAUAAUUAGACACAAGGUGUCACGCCCGCAAGUGUAUAAUUAGAACUGCACAAUUAUUAAAGCAACAGCCUGUCGCGGACAAUGUAGAUGCUAUCUGCUUGCAUCCCUUCCGCCUUUACUAGUUUGUGAAAUCCCACUUGUCCUUUGCUUAUCAACUUGUGAAUUAUGGCAGGAAGUGGAUGGAAUAUGACCAGAGGACGCUUAGCUUGCAAUAGCUUGAACUGUGAUUAGAAUUUAGAACAUACUCCUACUUUAUUCUAGAAGUUGAAAGAAAUAACUCUGAUGGAUAUGAAGUCGUACAUGAGAAAGUUCUAAUCUGCACUACACACUUGGAAUUACUCCCUUCGUCUCAAUUGUCUCAUGGUAAUGUUUGGCCAAGUUUAUAAAAAAACCAACAACCACAAUACCAAAUUAAUCUCUACUGUUAACGUAAUCAACAACAAUCAAAUAAAUCACCAACAGCAGGAAAUCACUUGCAAGCGAACAAUAAAAUCAACUCACAUAGUUGCAUGUACAAAAUCUCAAUCAUAUCAUAUCUUUCUUUACCUUCGCCUCCUCACAACAUAUCUCUAUCUCAACUGAACCAAAAAUUUCCUACGUUGAACCACCAGAAUAAAGUUGCUUCCAUUGCAAUACAUGAGUAUUUAGCUAGUAUUAUUGAUUAGACAGUUAAAAUAUUUUUAUUGCAACACACGAGUAUUUAGCUAUCAGUAGCUCUCAUUGAGAUGAAGAUGUACAUGUGGAAGUUGCAUUAACUUAUAUCCAACUUAAAAAAAAAA